CACGUAGGGGCCAAGCGUUGUCCGGAUUUAUUGGGCGUAAAGAGCUCGUAGGCGGUUGGGUAAGUCGGGUGUGAAAACUCCGGGCUCAACUCGGAGACGCCACCCGAUACUGCUCUGACUUGAGUCCGGUAGGGGAGUGGGGAAUUCCUGGUGUAGCGGUGAAAUGCGCAGAUAUCAGGAGGAACACCGGUGGCGAAGGCGCCACUCUGGGCCGGAACUGACGCUGAGGAGCGAAAGUGUGGGGAGCGAACAGG
rnacentral:rRNA from 1 species